CCUACGGGCGGCAGCAGUGGGGAAUAUUGCACAAUGGGCGCAAGCCUGAUGCAGCCAUGCCGCGUGUGUGAAGAAGGCCUUCGGGUUGUAAAGCACUUUCAGCGGGGAGGAAGGCGUUAAGGUUAAUAACCUUGGCGAUUGACGUUACCCGCAGAAGGAGCACCGGCUAACUCCGUGCCAGCAGCCGCGGUAAUACGGAGGGUGCAAGCGUUAAUCGGAAUUACUGGGCGUAAAGCGCACGCAGGCGGUCUGUCAAGUCGGAUGUGAAAUCCCCGGGCUCAACCUGGGAACUGCAUUCGAAACUGGCAGGCUAGAGUCGUGUAGAGGGGGGUAGAAUUCCAGGUGUAGCGGUGAAAUGCGUAGAGAUCUGGAGGAAUACCGGUGGCGAAGGCGGCCCCCUGGACAAAGACUGACGCUCAGGUGCGAAAGCGUGGGGAGCAAACAGGAUUAGAUACCCCUGUAGUC
rnacentral:rRNA from 1 species